CCCCCGAGGGACAUGAGAGAAGAGGAGCGGCGCUCAGGUUAUUCCAGGAUCUUUGGAGACCCGAGGAAAGCCGUGUUGACCAAAAGCAAGACAAAUGACUCACAGAGAAAAAAGAUGGCAGAACCAAGGGCAACUAAAGCCGUCAGGUUCUGAACAGCUGGUAGAUGGGCUGGCUUACUGAAGGACAUGAUUCAGACUGUCCCGGACCCAGCAGCUCAUAUCAAGUUAAACUCCAUUGAUGAUGCACAGUUGACAAGAAUUGCCCCUCCAAGAUCUCAUUGCUGUUUCUGGGAAGUAAACGCUCCUUAAAAGAUUUACUUGUAAUACUCAAAUCAACAAAUGCCCGCAUUCAGGCUCAUCAUACACGCUAUACGAUCAAAUGAAGCAGCAUAUGGAAUAGAGAUCAACAGGGGAGGGGGAAGCUUUUGGAGGGAGGAUCCAGUGAUCUCAUAAAGAUCUUGUCUGAGCCUGUUAGUUCUGAGGUGUGUUUUGGACAUUGAAAAACCUGAAAGUAAUUAACCUUCCCAAUCUAAACCGUAUUUUCCACAAAUAGGUUUGUUGGAUACUAGUAUUUUCACGUGUAAUUAGAAAAGGAAUUACUUUCCAUUAUUAACAAAUAGAUGUGACUUUGACUCAUGUUCAUUUUUUUUGGCCACAAAUUCUCAGACUUUUGAUCUUAAUGGUCAAGUGCAGGUAAGAGGAAAUGAAACAAAAUUAAGCAAUGAUUUGAAUACAUUUUCUCCCUUGUAGAAGACUAAUUAUAGUUUGGUCAUUGAGUAAUUUUCUCAGCUGCUUAGGAUCUUUAAUUAGGUUUGAUAUUCACUAUGAAUGUGUGGCAGGGUUUCUUGGGAAAGUAGAGACGGGAUAAAACAUAAAUGAUUUAUGUAACUGGAUAUGUCCCAGAGUGAAUGAGACUUUGGUCUCAAGAACUGUUCCAGUGGUUUGUCGUUCUUUGAUGAGCUCCGUAAGUGUUGCUCUUCUCAACAGAAGGUUGAAUUUUAGGUGAACAGCCUUUCCUGAUUGUGUAGAUCUGGACCACAGUUUGAAGGUGCCCCUCCCUCUCCCUCUGAUUGCCAGAGAACCCCUGCAUUAUCACAGCAACCCAAGUCACCCCACGUAUUCCCAAACACCCAUCUGCUCAGGACAGAAGAGGCAUUGCCUCUAGUUGAGAACCAAGAAGUGGUCAUUUCCUUAAAAGCUUUGUCUUGUCUUAUUUUAAUAUUUAAAUCAAAUGACAGAACUGUUUAUCUAUUUUUAUCACUAAACUCCAUAGUCCAAUUUUCGUCUUCAUACAAAUUAACAUGUUUUUACAAAAUCUCUAAUCUUAUGCACUGCUCACUGGCAACCUCUGUGGUGAACUAAACCGUAAUGAAUAAUAGGCCAGAGAGCCAAUGCAGCCUAGGUUGCCUAGAGGACAGAGAAACCCAGUGGCAAUUUCUGCAGCUUUGCCAACAGCCCUGAGUCACCUCGACCCUCCCCUGGCUCCUGGUCCAGUCUGAUGAAACAGUUUACAAGAUGUCUUCCAGGUUAGCUUUUCUUGUUAGUAUCUGCUUUCAACUCAAAAUGCACACACUCAAUUAAAUCUUCUACUUCUGUAUGACAAUGUUAAUAGACUCUUGGAAAAAA
rnacentral:lncRNA from 1 species